UUUGGGCCAACCUCCCAUCCGUGUCUAUUGUACCCUGUUGCUUCGGCGGGCCCGCCGCUUGUCGGCCGCCGGGGGGGCGCCUCUGCCCCCCGGGCCCGUGCCCGCCGGAGACCCCAACACGAACACUGUCUGAAAGCGUGCAGUCUGAGUUGAUUGAAUGCAAUCAGUUAAAACUUUCAACAAUGGAUCUCUUGGUUCCGGCAUCGAUGAAGAACGCAGCGAAAUGCGAUAACUAAUGUGAAUUGCAGAAUUCAGUGAAUCAUCGAGUCUUUGAACGCACAUUGCGCCCCCUGGUAUUCCGGGGGGCAUGCCUGUCCGAGCGUCAUUGCUGCCCUCAAGCCCGGCUUGUGUGUUGGGUCGCCGUCCCCCUCUCCGGGGGGACGGGCCCGAAAGGCAGCGGCGGCACCGCGUCCGAUCCUCGAGCGUAUGGGGCUUUGUCACAUGCUCUGUAGGAUUGGCCGGCGCCUGCCGACGUUUUCCAACCAUUCUUUCCAGGUUGACCUCGGAUCAGGUAGGGAUACCCGCUGAACUUAAGCAUAUCAAUAAGCGGAGGAAUA
rnacentral:rRNA from 1 species